rnacentral:rRNA from 1 species
GAUGAACGCUGGCGGCGUGCCUAAUACAUGCAAGUCGAGCGAACAGACGAGGAGCUUGCUCCUCUGACGUUAGCGGCGGACGGGUGAGUAACACGUGGAUAACCUACCUAUAAGACUGGGAUAACUUCGGGAAACCGGAGCUAAUACCGGAUAAUAUAUUGAACCGCAUGGUUCAAUAGUGAAAGACGGUUUUGCUGUCACUUAUAGAUGGAUCCGCGCCGCAUUAGCUAGUUGGUAAGGUAACGGCUUACCAAGGCGACGUUGCUUAGCCGACCUGAGAGGGUGAUGGGCCGCCCGGAAUGUGGUACAGGGCCUGACCCCCAGUGGGCGGCCCGAGUGGGGAUUCUGCGGUAACGGGAGAGAGCACGGAGGCGCACCCCCGCGGUGGUGAAGGAUGCCCAGGGUGGGGAAAACUGUUUUAAUCGGGAAGAACAAAUGCGUAAGCAACCAAGCCGGCUUGGAGGGCCCCAAAAAAGAAAGCCACGGCAACCUCUGC